CAGUCGCCGCGGUAAUACGUAGGUGGCAAGCGUUGUCCGGAAUUGUUGGGCGUAAAGGGCUCGCAGGCGGUUUCUUAAGUCUGAUGUGAAAGCCCCCGGCUCAACCGGGGAGGGUCAUUGGAAACUGGGAAACUUGAGUGCAGAAGAGGAGAGUGGAAUUCCACGUGUAGCGGUGAAAUGCGUAGAGAUGUGGAGGAACACCAGUGGCGAAGGCGACUCUCUGGUCUGUAACUGACGCUGAGGAGCGAAAGCGUGGGGAGCGAACAGGAUUAGAUACCCCGGUAGUCCCUGUCUCUUAUAC
rnacentral:rRNA from 1 species